UCCGAUAUGGUGUAAUGGUUAACAUUCCAGUCUCUCACACUGGAGCUCCUGGUUCAAUUCGUGAGUAUACCCCGAAA